rnacentral:rRNA from 1 species
GUACACUCCUACGGGAGGCAGCAGUGGGGAAUUUUGGACAAUGGGCGAAAGCCUGAUCCAGCAAUGCCGCGUGAGUGAAGAAGGCCUUCGGGUUGUAAAGCUCUUUUGUCAGGGAAGAAACUGUGAGAGCUAAUAUCUUUUGCUAAUGACGGUACCUGAAGAAUAAGCACCGGCUAACUACGUGCCAGCAGCCGCGGUAAUACGUAGGGUGCAAGCGUUAAUCGGAAUUACUGGGCGUAAAGCGUGCGCAGGCGGUUUUGUAAGUCUGAUGUGAAAUCCCCGGGCUCAACCUGGGAAUUGCAUUGGAGACUGCAAGGCUAGAAUCUGGCAGAGGGGGGUAGAAUUCCACGUGUAGCAGUGAAAUGCGUAGAUAUGUGGAGGAACACCGAUGGCGAAGGCAGCCCCCUGGGUCAAGAUUGACGCUCAUGCACGAAAGCGUGGGGAGCAAACAGGAUUAGAAACCCGGGUAGUCC